rnacentral:rRNA from 1 species
GACGAACGCUGGCGGCGUGCUUAACACAUGCAAGUCGAACGGAAAGGCCCCUUUGGGGGUACUCGAGUGGCGAACGGGUGAGUAACACGUGAGUAACCUGCCCUUGACUUCGGGAUAACUUCAGGAAACUGGGGCUAAUACCGGAUAGGAAUCCUUGCUGCAUGGUGGGGGUUGGAAAGCUUCGGCGGUUUUGGAUGGACUCGCGGCUUAUCAGCUUGUUGGUGGGGUAGUGGCUUACCAAGGCUUUGACGGGUAGCCGGCCUGAGAGGGCGACCGGCCACAUUGGGACUGGGAUACGGACCAGACUCCUACGGGAGGCAGCAGUGGGGAAUAUUGCACAAUGGGCGGAAGCCUGAUGCAGCAACGCCGCGGGCGGGAUGACGGCCUUCGGGUUGUAAACCGAUUUCAGCAGGGGCGAAGCUUGUGGUGACGGUACCUGCAGAAGAAGCACCGGCUAACUACGUG